GAGUGUCAUACUUUGUUGUCCCAAGAGUCUGCUUAUCUGUUCUUCCCAGGCACAGCAGAUGACCAUGCAGGCAAUGGCUCUGGCUACCAGCCCACUAACUAGCCCUCUGACCAGCCCACCAGCCAGCCCUCCCACCAGCCCCUAUACUAGACACCCCACCAACCCUUACAUCAGCAAUCCAGCUAACCCCUACGCCAGAACUCCAACGAGUUCACCGAUCCAGGACCACCCCACAAAGACUGUGCCCCCUUUACCUCGAGCUACACUGCCUACUCUGGCCAAGCUAACAACAAGCAGUCAUCCCCACAAACAAACCCCUACACCAACUGUGAACAGGGAGAAACCUGCCUUUCAGAAAGUUGCUGCUUCUACGGGGCCGAGUCGCGGUGCCGCGCCCAAGGAUGUGGUGAGAUCCUCCGUCACCAACUCAGAGCGCAUGGAGCCAAGUCACAAUAUCAAGGACAUCAUCAAACAGUACCAGCCAGCCCCACCAGCGAAGCCUCCAGAGAUAAAAAGGAAAGAGGGAAAAGUGUUUGUGAAGAAGAUGAACCCGCACGAUGAAGCCAUGAUGAUCCUGAAGGCACAGAGGAGCACGCAGCCGCCUCAACCCCAGCAAAAGAAGCCUUUUCCUCCAGCAUUUGCUGCUGCCCAAGC
rnacentral:lncRNA from 1 species